rnacentral:rRNA from 1 species
CCUACGCGUGUCAGCAGUAGGGAAUAUUGCUCAAUGGGGGAAACCCUGAAGCAGCAACGCCGCGUGGAGGAUGACGGUUUUCGGAUUGUAAACUCCUUUUGUUUGAGAAGAUAAUGACGGUAUCUAACGAAUAAGCACCGGCUAACUCCGUGCCAGCAGCCGCGGUAAUACGGAGGGUGCAAGCGUUACUCGGAAUCACUGUGCGUAAAGAGCGCGUAGGCGGGAUAGCAAGUCAGAUGUGAAAUCCUAUGGCUUAACCAUAGAACUGCAUUUGAAACUGUUAUUCUAGAGUAUGGGAGAGGUAGGUGGAAUUCUUGGUGUAGGGGUAAAAUCCGUAGAGAUCAAGAGGAAUACUCAUUGCGAAGGCGAGCUGCUAGAACAUAACUGACGCUGAUGCGCGAAAGCGUGGGGAGCAAACAGGAUUAGAUACCCCUGUAGUC